rnacentral:tRNA from 1 species
AGAGAGUUAGUCCAAAACAAGACCUCUGAUUUCGGCUCAGAAAAUUGUGGUUAAAAUCCACAACUCCCUU